AUUGAACGCUGGCGGCAUGCCUUACACAUGCAAGUCGAACGGUAACAGGUCUUCGGAUGCUGACGAGUGACGAACGGGUGAGUAAUACAUCGGAACGUGCCUAGUAGUGGGGGAUAACUACUCGAAAGAGUGGCUAAUACCGCAUGAGAUCUACGGAUGAAAGCAGGGGAUCGCAAGACCUUGUGCUACUAGAGCGGCCGGUGGCAGAUUAGGUAGUUGGUGGGAUAAAAGCUUACCAAGCCGACGAUCUGUAGCUGGUCUGAGAGGACGAUCAGCCACACUGGGACUGAGACACGGCCCAGACUCCUACGGGAGACAGCAGUGGGGAAUUUUGGACAAUGGGCGCAAGCCUGAUCCAGCAAUGCCGCGUGCAGGAUGAAGGCCUUCGGGUUGUAAACUGCUUUUGUACGGAACGAAAAGCCCUGGGUUAAUACCCUGGGGUCAUGACGGUACCGUAAGAAUAAGCACCGGCUAACUACGUGCCAGCAGCCGCCGUAAUAC
rnacentral:rRNA from 1 species